rnacentral:lncRNA from 1 species
UACAGCCCAUCCUCUGGUGGUGGUUACAGUCCAUCUUCUCCAGUCUUCAGUCCAGGGCCAGGACAGGGAUACAGCCCGACUUCUCCAUCAUAUAGUCCCGCAUCACCCAGCUAUAGUCCCACUUCUCCAUCAUAUACGCCUGGCUCUCCUAGCUACAGCCCAACAAGUCCGUCGUACUCCCCAACAAGUCCAUCGUACUCUCCAACCAGUCCGUCAUACUCCCCCACAUCUCCAAGCUACAGUCCCACAUCGCCAAGCUACAGUCCCACAUCACCAAGUUAUAGUCCCACUUCUCCGAGCUACAGUCCCACAUCGCCAGUUUAUAGUCCGACCUCUCCAGCAUACAGCCCAACAUCUCCUGCAUACAGCCCGACAUCUCCAUCAUACAGCCCGACAUCGCCAUCAUACAGCCCUACUUCACCUUCAUACAGCCCUACCUCUCCAUCUUACAGCCCUACGUCUCCAUCAUACAGCCCUACGUCUCCUUCAUACAGCCCUACGUCUCCAUCAUACAGCCCGACAUCGCCCUCGUACAGCCCGACAUCGCCUGCAUACAGCCCGACAUCGCCUGGAUACAGCCCAACAUCGCCGAGCUACAGCCCUA